GGCCCAAAUGUGAAGUGGGGUAGAUUAGGAGGAUCAUCUGACUGUACUAAACUAUUCUACUUCGAGUUUGUACCU
rnacentral:pre_miRNA from 1 species